GCUGUGACAAAUACACACGGAUGGUAAUGCACAACCAAUCCUUGUCUUGAAACUUUUGCAGUAGGCAGGGUCUGCUUCUGGAAAGAAUUCCCCAGAUGUUACAGUUCUGGUAUUCCUGCUCUGCUCUGGUGUGACUGCAGAACUACACUCUUUUUCCUUUGGGUAUGCUGCAGCCCAAACACAACAGUAUUUGCAAAUAGAUAAACAUGGAAAAAAAAAAGUUGCAAAAUGAAAGGCAUUAUUUCUAAAGAGCAUGUUUGUUUUUGCUGAUGACCUGGGUACAAAACGCUCGUAUGUGCUUGUGGUGGAAUGUUAACAUUUGUAAUCAGUAUGAGAGGACUGAUGGAAGCUCUGGAAAGAACAGGGUAAGCCUGAGGAUUAGAGGGAGAAAA